CACACACACACCUCCCUCCCAGACCUCCACCCAACAUAAAAGUGGCUCAGGGAGGAGCAGGAGGUUGAGGAGGAGGAGGAGGAAGAGCAGGAGGAAGAGCAGGAGGAGGAGGAGGGGGAGGAGCAGGAGGAGGAAGAGGGGAAGCAGGAGGAGCAGGAGGGUGCGGGUUUCCCUGCGGUUGUCAUGGUAACAGAGGAGAGGAGAUGACGCGUGCCCUUGUGUUGCCACGCUGCGGCUUAGUAACCACGGCAACCAGGGAGGAGGAAGGAAUGACUGGUUCUAAAGGCUGUGGUUCUAGAGGGUUCGGUUCUAUAGUUGUGGUUCUGUAGGUUCUAUAGGAAGUGGUUCUAUAUGUUCUAUAGUUGCGGUUCUGUAGGUUCUAUAGUUGCGGUUCUGUAGGUUCUAUAGGGUGUGGUUCUAUAGUUGUGGUUCUAUAGGGUGUGGUUCUAUAUGUUCUAUAGUUGCGGUUCUGUAGGUUCUAUAGGGUGUGGUUCUAUAGGGUGUGGUUCUAUAGGUUCUAUAGGGUGUGGUUCUAUAUGUUCUAUAGGGUGUGGUUCUAUAUGUUCUAUAGGGUGUGUUUAUAUAUGUUCUAUAGGGUGUGGUUCUAUAUGUUCUAUAGGGUGUGGUUCUGUAGGUUCUAUAGGGUGUGGUUAUAUAGUUGUGGUUCUAUAGGGUGUGGUUCUAUAUGUUCUAUAGGGUGUGGUUCUAUAGGUUCUAUAGGGUGUGGUUCUAUAGGUUCUAUAGGGUGUGGUUCUAUAGGUUCU
ensembl:lncRNA